rnacentral:tRNA from 1 species
GGGGCAGUAGCUCAGUUGGGAGAGCGUUGCACUGGCAGUGCAAAGGUCAGGGGUUCAAGCCCCCUCUGCUCCA